AGGACGAACGCUGGCGGCGUGCUUAACACAUGCAAGUCGAGCGGUAAGGCCCUUUCGGGGGUACACGAGCGGCGAACGGGUGAGUAACACGUGAGCAAUCUGCCCUUCACUUCGGGAUAAGCCUCGGAAACGGGGUCUAAUACCGGAUAUGACUGCGCCAUGCAUGUGGUGUGGUGGAAAGUUCUGGCGGUGAGGGAUGAGCUCGCGGCCUAUCAGCUUGUUGGUGGGGUAAUGGCAUACCAAGGCUUCGGACGGGUAGCCGGCUGAGAGGUGACCGGCCACGACUGGGACUGAGACACGGCCCAGACUCCGACGGGAGCAGUCAGGUGGGAAUAGUUGGACAAGUGGGACUAAAGCCUAGACUCCAUCGAACGCCGCGUAGGAGGAUCGGAACGGUCCGUUACGGGUUACGUUAAACC
rnacentral:rRNA from 1 species